CCAUCUCGUUAGCUGGAUCAGCUUAGUAAAGCAGCAUUUUGAGUCGGUUUGUCGACGAUUUUACCGUAGUAAUGAAAUCUGCACAGACCUUCCUUAUCUUUGCGAUUUCUGCCUUCUUGUUGGCUCAACUGCAGAAAACAUCUGCCAAAUCCAGUUUAAUUCUAGAAUCGCUGGGUGAAAUGGAUGACACCUCUGAUACCACUGAUAUCUCUGAUACCUUUGAUACCUCAGAUGAGAUAAGUCGUCGCUUCUAUCGUGGCUGCAAAAACAUAAGGAGCAAGACAUUCUGCAAACGAUUCGCGAGGUUCUGUGCGUAUAGCGAUGAUAACGGUAAAUACAUGAGGACAAAUUGUCGCUUUCGGUGUGGUUGUGUCUUCUGAGUUUCUUCUGAGGAAUGGGACUAUCGACAUGAAGAAAUAAAGAGAAAUCCAGAAAUUCUAGGCAUAAAAUUAAUGCAACCAUAAAAGUCAAAUUAACUUUCAAAUUGUCGGUGUUCAAGAUUUAAUCAGAAAGAAACAGAUAUAAAAUAUGUUUCCAGUUAAAUAAAGAGAUAACUCGGCAUGAGGACUACA